GCGUCCAACACAAACUGGAAUUGCUAUUUAGGAUUGUUUAACUCUUCAUUUUGAGGAGAUGGGUAGUGGGGAGGGUUUUUGUCUGUUUCUUUCCUGGUAGGAGUGGGCUCUGAAUCUGCUGUGCUUAGGUAUCUUAGUAGGUAGGACCAUCAAGAAAAGACAGUGAAUGAAUAGUUCUUAUAAGUAGAUAAAGUACUUUUUUUUUUUUUUUUGCAGUAUGUCAUUGUUUAUGUCACUAAUUUAAAAGUAUUCCAGCUCUGGGUUUUAUAACUAACAAUAUGAGAAAUAGUUUUUGUUCAGAUGUAGCUCAAGAUGCAUCUCUCCCUUGUUCAAAUUACUAUACAUCCUCUUUGCUUCUCAUGGAAUUUGGAAACUAUCUCAGCUGCUAAUGAUCUAAACAUUUUGGUCUUACAGGUGUUCUUUUGAUCACAAUGGAUAGUGACUCUUCUCUUCUGCCUGAGUGGUUCAAAAUAAUGAAAGAUGAGAUUGGACUUCUCAGUUUGUGUCCAGAACAAGGAUGGAGAGGCUCAGCAGCACCGACAGGUCAGUAGGUUUUCUCUGUGCCAUAUGAUGGGGUUCUGAGUUUGCUGCAGCCCUGGCCUUGGGCCAGGCACAUUGUGUCUGAUUUUGAGGUUCAAGGGUAUUGUUAUUUCCACUUUAUCAAUAAGGAAACAAGCUCCGAGUGAGCACUGGACAGCAUUACAAGGUUAUAGAACAUAGCAGGGUUGGGGGUGUCAGCUCUGGGGCUUGGAGACACAACUCAUGUCCCUGCUCCUCUCCUCCCUCUCCCU
rnacentral:lncRNA from 1 species